rnacentral:rRNA from 1 species
UGGCGACCGGCGCACGGGUGAGUAACACGUAUCCAACCUGCCGAUGACUCGGGGAUAGCCUUUCGAAAGAAAGAUUAAUACCCGAUGGCAUAGUUCUUCCGCAUGGUAGAACUAUUAAAGAAUUUCGGUCAUCGAUGGGGAUGCGUUCCAUUAGGUUGUUGGCGGGGUAACGGCCCACCAAGCCUUCGAUGGAUAGGGGUUCUGAGAGGAAGGUCCCCCCACAUUGGAACUGAGACACGGUCCAAACUCCUACGGGAGGCAGCAUG